GACGAACGCUGGCGGCGUGCUUAAUACAUGCAAGUCGAACGGAAAGGCGCGGCUUUUGUUGCGCGCUCGAUAGGCGAACGGGUGAGUAAAACGCGAGUAUCACGCCCCUGAAUGUGGGAUAAAUUCAGGGGACUGGGGAUCAUACCGGAUAGAAGCUUCUGCUGCCUGGUGGGGGUUGGAAAGAUUCGGCGGUUGGGGAUGGACUCGCGCUGUAUUAGCUUGAUGGUGGGGUAACGGCUGACCAAGGCAUUGACGGAUAGCCGACCUGAGCGGGUGAUAGGCCACCUGGGAACUGAGACACGCUCCAGACUCCUACGGUAGGCAGCAGUAGGGUAUCGUCCGCAAUGGGCGAAAGUCUGACGGAGCAACGCGGAGUGAGUGGUGACGGUCUUCGGUUCGUAAAACUCUGUUAUUAGGGAAGAACAUAUUUGUAAGGAACUGUGCACAUCUUGACGGUACCUAAUCAGAAAGCCACGGCUAACUACGUG
rnacentral:rRNA from 1 species